AGAGUUUGAUCCUGGCUCAGGAUUAACGCUGCGCGGUGUGCAUAAUACAUGCAAGUCGAGCGCCCAGCACUUUGUUUACAAGCAAUUGCAGACAAAGUGCUGGGAGCGGCGGACGGGUGAGUAACACGUUGGUAACUACCUCAGAAUCAGGGAUAAGCCUUAGAAAUAGGGUCUAAUACCGGAUGGUCCCGAAAGGGUAAAGCAGCAAUGCGUUCUGAGAGGUGCCUGCGGCCUAUCAGUUAGUUGGUGAGGUAAUGGCUUACCAAGACUAUGACGGGUAGCUGGUCUGAGAGGAUGAUCAGCCACAAUGGAACUGAGACACGGUCCAUACUCCUACGGGAGGCAGCAGUAAGGAAUCUUUCGCAAUGGGGGAAACCCUGACGAAGCAACACCGCGUGGAGGAUGAAGGCGUUUUCGUUGUAAACUCCUUUUCUGAGGGAAUAAAUCUGAAGGUACCUCAGGAAUAAGCGACGGCUAACUACGUGCCAGCAGCCGCGGUAAGACGUAGGUCGCGAGCGUUAUCCGGAAUUAUUGGGCGUAAAGAGUUCGUAGGUGGUCUGUUAAGUUGGAUGUCAAAGCCUUGAGCUCAACUCAAGACAGGUGUCCAAAACUAACAAACUAGAGACAGGCAGAGGCAAGUGGAAUUCUGUAUGUAGGGGUAAUAUCCGUAGAUAUACAGAGGAACACCAAAAGCGAAGGCAGCUUGCUGGGCCUGUUCUGACACUCAAGAACGAAAGCGUGGGGAGCAAACGGGAUUAGAUACCCCGGUAGUCCACGCCCUAAACUAUGAUCACUAGGUG
rnacentral:rRNA from 1 species